GACGAACGCUGGCGGCGUGCUUAACACAUGCAAGUCGAACGGAAAGGCCCUGCUUUUGUGGGGUGCUCGAGUGGCGAACGGGUGGGUAACACGUGAGUAACCUGCCCUUGACUUUGGGAUAACUUCAGGAAACUGGGGCUAAUACCGGAUAGGAGCUCCUGCUGCAUGGUGGGGGUUGGAAAGUUUCGGCGGUUGGGGAUGGACUCGCAGCUUAUCAGCUUGUUGGUGGGGUAGUGGCUUACCAAGGCUUUGACGGGUAGCCGGCCUGAGAGGGUGACCGGCCACAUUGGGACUGAGAUACGGCCCAGACUCCUACGGGAGGCAGCAGUGGGGAAUAUUGCACAAUGGGCGGAAGCCUGAUGCAGCAACGCCGCGUGCGGGAUGACGGCCUUCGGGUUGUAAACCGCUUUCGCCUGUGACGAAGCGUGAGUGACGGUAAUGGGUAAAGAAGCACCGGCUAACUACGUG
rnacentral:rRNA from 1 species